UUUCUUUUUUUUUUUUAUAUUUUUUUUGGUGCUGUUUGAUAAAAUUUGAAGUAUAGAGAGGUGUUCUUUUGAAAGAAGAUGAGUAAGCAGACCAGGCUAGUGUUUAAAUGGAUGAUGAUGAUUAAAGUUGGAUGAAGAAAAGUACCAUAUAUUACAGAAAAAAUAAUGUAGCUUUGUUUAGUGAAUAUUUCCCUAACACAAGAGAUGAAGUGAAAGCUCAUGGGGUAACGUUUAGCCAAGGAUAUGUAACAAUAUAGGCUGAUGAAGGGCAGGUCCACAACAAUUUAAAAUUUAAAAUUAAAAAAAAAAAUGCAUUUAUAAUUCGAAUAUAAAUCGAAUAUUUUUUUUACUCUAUUUAGAAUAUCCAACAAACAAUCAUUUUGACCACAACAUAUGCAGAAAACAGUUUUUGCUGUUUCUUAUGAUGAACAUAUCCAUUUUCAACCACUACAUCUCACAAGCUUUGUGAUCAGAUACCCAAUUCUCCAAUGUUUAUAAAGUCAUAUUGAGUAUAAAGAUGUAAACUCAAACUGUAUAGACUUUGCUCUAUACUACAUGAAUGCUAUAUUGCCAUCUUCCAUAGCAGCCACCAUUAAGUAAAUGAACAGCAAUCAUGCCUAUUAGUUAAGGAACUCAUAGAUAAAUUCUCCAAAGAAAAGCCCCAAAUAACUAACCAGAGGCCUGUCAUUGUCGUCAACAGGAACUUUUUCCAUUGCUGCCAAUGUAGUCAAGCCACCAACAACCCCACCAAAAACUGUAUGUUUAAAGUUCAAAUGAUUUGCAGACUUGUAAAGGAUGAAAAACUGAGAACCAUUGGUGUGGGGCCCACUGUUUGCCAUACUGACAACCCCUCUUCCAGAGUGGAGCAACUUGGAGUUCAGCUCAUCUUUGAAAGGCUUCCCCCAUAUAGAUUCUCCUCCUCUCCCAGUACCAGUAGGAUCACCACCUUGAAUCAUAAAAUUCCGAAUGCUUCUAUGAAAAGCAACUCCAUUAUAGUAGCCUUGCUCACAAAGAGUGAUGAAGUUCUCGCAUGUCCUUGGAGUUAUAUCACAGUGCAGCUCAAUGUUCAAAUCACCAUGUGUUGUAUGCAGCUGAACAUAACCUUUCUUCUUUGGAUUUUUCUCAACUUUGAUAUAUUCAAAGUCAUUUUUGGUGACAGGAUCAAAAGAGGUAGAAGUGAAUGAUCGUGAAGCAGCGCCAGUGGUGUAACGACUCUUUACCAUCUUUGCAUUCACAGGUGCCCUCUCACCAGCCAUGUGCAUGGCUAUCCGAGCAGCAGUUUUAUCACCUGAUGCAGCUUUAGCUGCAGCAGCACUUCUCCCAUGUACUGCAGCAGAUGCAGCAUCUACGAUACUAUAUGCUUGUCGGGGCUUAGACUCUCCAUUUGAAUCUGAUUUGGAAUCCUCUUUAAUACGCGAUCUUGCAGCCAAAAUGGCAGCAAGGGCAGCAGCUCUUUCAUUUUGUGCCUUACUGCCACCUCCACCAUGAAGUGCAGUUUGUUUUGCUUUCUCAGUUCCAAGCUCCUCCAGCAUCUGCUUCAUAUCUCCAGUAGCAUUUAUGUUAUACAUUGCAUCUGAACUCAUUUUCUUUAGCUCUUCAUCAUCAACUUUCAGACCGUUCUUAACAUGGUCAAAAUCCAGAGUGACCUUACUGUCAAGUGCAUUCGGAUUCUGAAUUGUUAUCAAGUCU
rnacentral:misc_RNA from 1 species